rnacentral:rRNA from 1 species
UACGAGGGGAGUAAGCAUUAUUCGGUCAUAUUGGGCGUAAAGGGCCUGUAGGUGGAAUUAUGUAAGUAAAAAGUGAGAUCCCAGAGCGCAACUUUGGAACUACUUUUUAAACUAUAUUUUCUGUGGGUAAUGUAUGGGAUAAUAGAAUUUCUUUAGUAAGGAUGGAAUCUAUUAAUAAAAGAAAGAAUACCAUGUGGUGAUAACAGUUAUCUAAUUUUUACCAACACUGAGGGGCUAAAGCAUGGGGAGCAAACAGG